AUCAGCAAGUGGCUUUAGUCGCGCUCUGAACAUCACGAGGAGAGGUCGCACGUCUUGACGUUUCCAAGCCGGAUUUACGAAGGUUUACGUGAUGGGUAAGCUUCACUAGGAUUAUGCAAGUAAGUACGGCGUGUAAUCUGGAAUUACUUGGAGAAAGGACACGGCAAAGGAGCUCCCGAUGGCGUGGGCGAAGUAUUGAAAAGAAUAGCAGAUCGCAUCGUCGCUGAAGGCAAUGACAUUCCAAACAUUGAUGUCCUUAUCAGCUAUCUUAAAGAUAAAUGUCCGGGAGUUACGAUAGCGGAGGUUCAAAAAUCGUAUGAUGGAGAAGGAUCUGUUAAUUCCCUCUGAUUUAAGAGAAUUCCGGGGCACCAUGGAUGUUCAUCAGGUGAUAUGGAUCAAUAAAACUCCCGAAGUCCUCGCCAUGAGACGUCUUAGCUGUCAUUUAGAAAAAUGAUCGGAAGAACCAAUUCAUUGUCCUCAUGGUCAACAUAUAGAUUUUUAUAAUAUCAAAAGUUCAAAUGUGCACAGCACUGGUACAUCUGAAACCGCGAAAUCAAACAAGACCGUAAAAGAAAAUUACUUCGAUAAACUUUCUACUUCGAACCCAAAUUAUGGGCUAGCUGCAACUGAAGUUCAGAGCAUUCAAUCGGAUAAUCAUAUUCCAUCUGAUGAUAGCUUAUGGAUUAAUGUGCCUUCAGUAAAAUAAAAUCUUAAUUUCCGAUUCUAUGUGUAAAGUAGUAACGUCUGCUCUCUAUGGCGGGGAAGAGUCGGAUUCUACUGAUGAAUA